rnacentral:rRNA from 1 species
CCUACGGGAGGCAGCAGUGAGGAAUAUUGGUCAAUGGGCGGAAGCCUGAACCAGCCAAGUCGCGUGAGGGAUUAAGGCCCUGCGGGUCGUAAACCUCUUUUGCCGGGGAGCAGAGGUCCGGACGUGUCCGGGCCGGGAGAGUACCCGGAGAAAAAGCAUCGGCUAACUCCGUGCCAACAGCCGCGGUAAUACGGAGGAUGCGAGCGUUAUCCGGAUUUAUUGGGUUUAAAGGGUGCGUAGGCGGGCAUUUAAGCCGGCGGUCAAAUGUCGGGGCUCAAACCCGGCCUGCCGUCGGAACUGGGUGCCUUGAGUGGGCGAGAAGUAUGCGGAAGGCGUGGUGUAGCGGUGAAAUGCAUAGAUAUCACGCAGAACCCCGAUUGCGAAGGCAGCAUACCGGCGCCCUACUGACGCUGAGGCACGAAAGUGCGGGUAUCGAACAGGAUUAGAUACCCCAGUAGUC